ACGGGACUUUCUUGUCCUACAUGGGGAUGCUGCAUCAAAGUUGUUUGAAACUUGGCUACCCAUUUAUGCUGACAAGAUCCUGUACCUGGCAAGACAGGAGGGGAAGCUGACAUUGCCCCUGGAUGGAUUAACACCAGAUGGUGUUGGGGAACUCGCCCUGAGGCAGUUGCCAGCCUUGCUUCUACCUACAAUUUACAAAGUUGGCUGUGGCCAAAGUGUGAAAGUAGUUCGCCUCACCAUACAGGAAUGCAGCUUGGCCUUCAUCAACCAUAAGCCUGCCCGGUGCACCCAGGACGCGAUCUUCCCAGAUGUCCUUCGCUCCGGCGCCGGGACACCACAGACCCUGGGUGCAUCCACAGUGGAGGACGCGAGCCAGGCCCUGGUCAACGACUUCUCC